rnacentral:rRNA from 1 species
AUUGAACGCUGGCGGCAGGCCUAACACAUGCAAGUCGAACGGUAACAGGAAACAGCUUGCUGUUUCGCUGACGAGUGGCGGACGGGUGAGUAAUGUCUGGGAAACUGCCUGAUGGAGGGGGAUAACUACUGGAAACGGUAGCUAAUACCGCAUAACGUCGCAAGACCAAAGAGGGGGACCCUCGGGCCUCUUGCCAUCGGAUGUGCCCAGAUGGGAUUAGCUUGUUGGUGGGGUAACGGCUCACCAAGGCGACGAUCUCUAGCUGGUCUGAGAGGAUGACCGGCCACACUGGAACUGAGACACGGUCCAUGCUCCUACGGGAGGCAGCAGUGGGGAAUAUUGCACAAUGGGCGCAAGCCUGAUGCAGCCAUGCCGCGUGUAUGAAGAAGGCCUUCGGGUUGUAAAGUACUUUCAGCGGGGAGAAAGGGAGUAAAGUUAAUACCUUUGCUCAUUGACGUUACCCGCAGAAGAAGCACCGGCUAACUCCGUG